rnacentral:rRNA from 1 species
GAUGAACGCUAGCGAUAGGCUUAACACAUGCAAGUCGAGGGGCAGCAUGAUCUUAGCUUGCUAAGGUCGAUGGCGACCGGCGCACGGGUGCGUAACGCGUAUGCAACUUGCCUUACAGAGGGGGAUAACCCGUUGAAAGACGGACUAAAACCGCAUACACUUGUAUUAUUGCAUGAUAUUACAAGGAAAUAUUUAUAGCUGUAAGAUAGGCAUGCGUCCCAUUAGCUGGUUGGUGAGGUAACGGCUCACCAAGGCGACGAUGGGUAGGGGAACUGAGAGGUUUAUCCCCCACACUGGUACUGAGACACGGACCAGACUCCUACGGGAGGCAGCAGUGAGGAAUAUUGGUCAAUGGGCGAGAGCCUGAACCAGCCAAGUCGCGUGAAGGAAGACAGUCCUAAGGAUUGUAAACUUCUUUUAUACGGGAAUAACGGGCGAUACGAGUAUUGCAUUGAAUGUACCUAAGAUAAG